rnacentral:piRNA from 1 species
UGCAGCAGAAGUUGGCUGCGGAAGUGCUG